rnacentral:rRNA from 1 species
AACGAACGCUGGCGGCGCGCCUAAUACAUGCAAGUCGAGCGAGAAGACGUAGCAAUACGUUUGUAAAGCGGCGAACGGGUGAGGAAUACAUGGGGUAACCUACCCUCGAGUGGGGAAGUAACUAGCCGAAAGGUUAGCUAAUACCGCGUACGCUCCUUGGACUUCGGUUCAGGGAGGAAAGCGAUACCGUGGGUAUCGCGCUCUUGGAUGGGCUCAUGUCCUAUCAGCUUGUUGGGAGGUAACGGCUCACCAAGGCUUCGACGGGUAGCUGGUC